GCAGUCGUGUCCGAGUGGUUAAGGAGAUUGACUAGAAAUCAAUUGGGCUUUGCCCGCACAGGUUCGAAUCCUGUCGACUGCG
rnacentral:tRNA from 1 species